GGAAGGAUCAUUACAAAUCAGUUUGUUUGUGUGUUGGGGAGAGUUGGGUUGUUGGUGAGGGUGCGAGCCCAAGUCAUUACUCUGCUCAUCUCUAUACCAUACAACAUUUGCGCUUGAUGUGUUUGACAGAGUAAUCUAUAUUCAAUAAUGACAACUUUUAACAACGGAUCUCUGGGCUCUUGCAACGAUGAAGAACGCAGCCAAAUGCGAUACGUAAUGCGAUCUGCACGAAUCUGUGAGUCAUCGAGUCUUUGAACGCAACUUGCGCCACUUGUGGCAUGUCUGUUUGAGUACCAAUUCCAUCUGCAGCAAUGCGAAUUGACCGUGCUAUGCUCGGUCUAAAUAGAUGUCUAUCAGCAGGGCGACUGCAAAGCUAGAGACCUCACCGUCUUGUUUGCACAGCCCUCUUUUCACUGGUCUCAGGUCAGGCAAGAUUACCCGCUGAACUUAAGCAUAUCAGUAAGCGGAGGAAAGGAAACUAACAAGGAUUCCCCUAGUAAUGGCGAAUGAAGCGGGAAUAGCUCAAAGUUUAAAUCUCGGUGGUUUCCACCGCGAAUUGUAGUCUAAAGAAGGCGAUCCAGGCUGCGACGGUGAUCAAGUCCCUUGGGAUAGGGCGCCAGAGAGGGUGAGAGCCCCGUCAAUCACUGAAGCAGCCAGCGUGAGAGCCUUUCAACGAGUCGAGUUGUUUGGGAAUGCAGCUCAAAGCGGGUGGUAAAUCUCAUCUAAGGCUAAAUACUGGCAAGAGACCGAUAGCGAACAAGUACCGUGAGGGAAAGAUGAAAAGCACCUUGAAAAGGGAGUUAAACAGUGCGUGAAAUUGUUAAAAGGGAAGCGAUUGAGAUCAGUGUUGGCUUGUCGUUUACGUCGGUGCUCUGGUGCUGGCUGCGACGGCAGGCCGAGUCAAUGCCAGUUGUGGAUGCUGGAGACGCGCCGCGGGAAGGUGGGGUCGCGCCUUCGGGUCGGCUCUUUAUAGACCGUGGUGGCCGCAGUCUCUGCGACUGGAAGCAGUGCAACGCGGACAGCGAUCAGUUGGAAGAGCAGCCAGACAAUUCAUUGACUGGCCACUCGACUUGCUGCGAUCUGUUCCCCGAGUGCUGCGUCUUUGACAAAAUGGUCUUAAACGACCCGUCUUGAAACACGGACCAAGGAGUCUAACAAUGUUGCGAGCAUUAUGGUGGCAAACCAGAGAUGCGUAGUAAAAGCAAAUUUCUGCGAGCCUCGGCGCAGCAGAGACCGGCCUGGGAGUAUUCUGCCAGGACCGCGUAGGAGCAGGAUUGUUGGGACCCGAAAGGCGGUGAACUAUGCCUGACUAGGGCGAAGCCAGAGGAAACUCUGGUGGAGGCUCGUAGCCGUUCUGACGUGCAAAUCGAUGGUAAAAGUUGGGUAUAGGGGCGAAAGACUAAUCGAACCGCCUAGUAGCUGGUUCCCUC
rnacentral:misc_RNA from 1 species